UACAGAGGUCUCAAGCGUUGUCCGGAUUCAUUGGGCGUAAAGGGUGCGUAGGUGGCGCCGUAAGUCAGGUGUGAAAUUUCGGAGCUUAACUCCGAAACUGCAUUUGAUACUGCGGUGCUUGAGGACUGGAGAGGAGACUGGAAUUUACGGUGUAGCAGUGAAAUGCGUAGAGAUCGUAAGGAAGACCAGUGGCGAAGGCGGGUCUCUGGACAGUUCCUGACACUGAGGCACGAAGGCCAGGGGAGCAAACGGG
rnacentral:rRNA from 1 species